UGUACUAAUUUAAACAUGUCAAGCAUGUAAGGAGCAAGAAUACUCUGGAAGUGGCGAAAGUAUUCAUUAGAGAGUCCAUCAGGACCUGGGGAUUUACCCAUCUGGAGAGACAUAAUAACCUUAUUAACUUCUGCGAGUGAGAAUGGUGCAUUAAGGGACUGUAAUUGUGAGGGUAGGAAGAGUCGCCUGUUUGAUGAGGAAG